rnacentral:rRNA from 1 species
CCUACGGGAGGCAGCAGUGAGGAAUAUUGGUCAAUGGCCGUAAGGCUGAACCAGCCAAGUCGCGUGAAGGAAGAAGGAUCUAUGGUUUGUAAACUUCUUUUAUAGGGGAAUAAAGGUAUCCACGUGUGGAUAUUUGCAUGUACCCUAUGAAUAAGCAUCGGCUAACUCCGUGCCAGCGGCCGCGGUACUACGGAGGAUGCGAGCGUUAUCCGGAUUUAUUGGGUUAAAGGGUGCGUAGGUUGUUUUUUAAGUUAGCGGUGAAAGUUUGUGGCUCAACCAUAAAAUUGCCGUUGAAACUGGAAGACUUGAGUGUGUUUGAGGUAGGCGGAAUGCGUGGUGUAGCGGUGAAAUGCAUAGAUAUCACGCAGAACUCCGAUUGCGAAGGCAGCUUACUAAGCCAUAACUGACACUGAAGCACGAAAGCGUGGGGAGCAAACAGGAGUAGAUACCCGUGUAGUC